GUUGUGAAAGCCCCGGGNUCAACCUGGGAACGGCAUCCGGAACGGCCAGGCUAGAGUGCAGGAGAGGAAGGUAGAAUUCCCGGUGUAGCGGUGAAAUGCGUAGAGAUCGGGAGGAAUACCAGUGGCGAAGGCGGCCUUCUGGCCUGACACUGACACUGAGGUGCGAAAGCGUGGGUAGCAAACAGGAUUAGAUACCCUGGUAGUCCACGCCGUAAACGAUGUCGACUAGCCGUUGGGACCUUUAAGGACUUAGUGGCGCAGUUAACGCGAUAAGUCGACCGCCUGGGGAGUACGGCCGCAAGGUUAAAACUCAAAUGAAUUGACGGGGGCCCGCACAAGCGGUGGAGCAUGUGGUUUAAUUCGAUGCAACGCGAAGAACCUUACCUACCCUUGACAUCCAGAGAAGUUGGCAGAGAUGCCUUCGUGCCUUCGGGAGCUCUGAGACAGGUGCUGCAUGGCUGUCGUCAGCUCGUGUUGUGAAAUGUUGGGUUAAGUCCCGUAACGAGCGCAACCCUUGUCCUUAUUUGCCAGCGAGUCAUGUCGGGAACUCUAAGGAGACUGCCGGUGACAAACCGGAGGAAGGUGGGGACGACGUCNAGUCAUCAUGGCCCUUACGGGUAGGGCUACACACGUGCUACAAUGGCCGGUACAAAGGGCUGCGAGAUCGCGAGAUGGAGCGAAUCCCAGAAA
rnacentral:rRNA from 1 species